rnacentral:rRNA from 1 species
GAACGGCAGCACGGAGCUUGCUCUGGUGGCGAGUGGCGAACGGGUGAGUAAUAUAUCGGAACGUACCCUGGAGUGGGGGAUAACGUAGCGAAAGUUACGCUAAUACCGCAUACGAUCUAAGGAUGAAAGUGGGGGCUCGCAAGACCUCAUGCUCCUGGAGCGGCCGAUAUCUGAUUAGCUAUUUGGUAGGGUAAAAGCCUACCAAGGCAUCGAUCAGUAGCUGGUCUGAGAGGACGACCAGCCACACUGGAACUGAGACACGGUCCAGACUCCUACGGGAGGCAGCAGUGGGGAAUUUUGGACAAUGGGCGCAAGCCUGAUCCAGCAAUGCCGCGUGAGUGAAGAAGGCCUUCGGGUUGUAAAGCUCUUUUGUCAGGGAAGAAAAGGGUCUGGCUAAUAUCUAGGCCUCAUGACGGUACCUGAAGAAUAAGCACCGGCUAACUACGUG